rnacentral:rRNA from 1 species
AUGGUGUCGUGGAGCAACGAGACCAGUGAGGAUUCAGUCCUGAACAUCUCCUCCUCCUGUGAUGGCAUCAUCAAGCUUCCAGCUAUGAUGCACGAUCCGAAUUUCAAUGGUACUGACACAAAUGUGAAUGUGUUGUGUGAACACGGUGAGCCGGCCGAACGUUUUGUAGCAUUUGAAUGGAUGCACACGGGCAGGAGGUUUAUUGGAUGUGCUAAGAAGGAAGGCAUAAACUGUGGAGUAGUUCAAUGGAUUGAUUUUGAAUGGCCAGACUCAAUGGAGGAGGCAUUGGCCAAGCUAUGGGAUAUGUAUGAGGAGACCAAGUCAGCUAGGACCAAUGACAAUCUAGAGAGUUCCGUUGCAAUUCACAACCUGACAGAAGAGAAGAAGAAGAUGCUGCUAAACUAUGAAACUCUGAAGAACCUGACAUGUGCUCAAGCCAAUGUGAUUAGGAACUUGAAGUUCAAUCAUUUGAAGGAGGAGAGGCUCACAAAAGAGAAGCUUAAACUGCAGUAUCACAUUUCUGAGCUACAAAAGUCUGAGGAAAAGAUAAAGUUAAAGCUUCAGGGUGUGAAGGCCAUCUUAGAUGAGUAG